rnacentral:rRNA from 1 species
UACGCAGGGGGCUAGCGUUGCUCGGAAUCACUGGGCGUAAAGGGUGCGUAGGCGGGUCUUUAAGUCAGAGGUGAAAUCCUGGAGCUCAACUCCAGAACUGCCUUUGAUACUGAGGAUCUUGAGUUCGGGAGAGGUGAGUGGAACUGCGAGUGUAGAGGUGAAAUUCGUAGAUAUUCGCAAGAACACCAGUGGCGAAGGCGGCUCACUGGCCCGAUACUGACGCUGAGGCACGAAAGCGUGGGGAGCAAACAGG